rnacentral:rRNA from 1 species
CCAGACUCCUACGGGAGGCAGCAGUGGGGAAUCUUCCGCAAUGGACGAAAGUCUGACGGAGCAACGCCGCGUGAGUGAUGACGGCCUUCGGGUUGUAAAGCUCUGUUAAUCGGGACGAAAGGCCUUCUUGCGAAUAGCGAGAAGGAUUGACGGUACCGGAAUAGAAAGCCACGGCUAACUACGUGCCAGCAGCCGCGGUAAUACGUAGGUCCCGAGCGUUGUCCGGAAUUAUUGGGCGUAAAGCGCGCGCAGGCGGAUCAGUCAGUCUGUCUUAAAAGUUCGGGGCUUAACCCCGUGAGGGGAUGGAAACUGCUGAUCUAGAGUAUCGGAGAGGAAAGUGGAAUUCCUAGUGUAGCGGUGAAAUGCGUAGAUAUUAGGAAGAACACCAGUGGCGAAGGCGACUUUCUGGACGAAAACUGACGCUGAGGCGCGAAAGCCAGGGGAGCGAACGGGAUUAGAUACCCCGGUAGUCCUGGCCGUAAACGAUGGGUACUAGGUGUAGGAGGUAUCGACCCCUUCUGUGCCGGAGUUAACGCAAUAAGUACCCCGCCUGGGGAGUACGACCGCAAGGUUGAAACUCAAAGGAAUUGACGGGGCCCGCACAAG